ensembl:lncRNA
UGUAAAUGUCAUACAUGUUGUCUGUGGCUGCUUCAUGCUGCAAAGGCAGAGCUGACCACAAGGCCCAUGAAGACGAAACUAUUUACUUAGCUGGCCCUUAGAGGAAAAGUUUGCUGGCCUUUGAUCUACAGCAAAAAUAUUCAACAUGAAGACUGAAAAUAUGAGCAGAUAUUGCAGAGAAUACCCUGAAAUGUAUGGUCUCAGUAAGAUCGGCUGUGUGGUCAAAAUGGUGAGGAGCAGAGUGAUUCCAGCCGUAGGUAUGAGCCCCAGAGCAUUGAAGUCAAGGACCCAACAAGUACCUGUACGUGAACGAUCAUGGCAGCGUUACUCACAAUAGCCAAAAGCUGGGGGUCACCCAAUGUCCACUGGUGGACAAAAUGUGACAUUUCCACACAAUACACUACUAUUCAGCGAUGGCAAAAGGUGAAGUCCUGACGCAUGCUCCAACAUGGAUGAUCCUCAAAAACAUUACGCUAAUUCAAAGAAGUCAGAUGCAAAAGGUCAUAUAUUGGAAUUUCAUAUAAUUCCGUUUUUAUGAACUGUCCAGAACAGGUAAAUCCAAAGAGACAGAAACAAUUAGUGUUUUCCAGGAGCGGGGGGUACAAGAAAAGGGGGUGACUGCCUAAUAGGUGCAGGGUUUCAUUUUGGGCUGAUGAAAAAGGCCUGGAACUAGAGAGAAGUGAUGGUUGUAUAACACUGUGAAUAUGUGCCUCCGAAUUGCUCACUUUCAGAUGGUCAGUUUUCUAUUGUGUGAAUUUCAACUCAACUGGAAAAACUGAUGGGGAUGCUAAGCAGUAUAAUACAUCCCAGAGUGGCAACUGCAGCCUCGGAGUCCAGAGUGUGAGAGCCUCCCUUUGUCUGUGAUGCGUUUGGGCUUGUGCGUCUGCGACGUUCCUGAGUCCCUUAAAAGGCAACACCAUGACCAUGGUUUUCUCAGGGCAGAGUUCUUUAAGCUUAAAACUCAACAUUCAGAAAACUAAGAUCAUAGCAUCCGGUCCCAUCAUUUCAUGGCAAAUAGAUGGGGUAACGAUGGAAACAGUGACAAACUUUAUUUUUUGAGGCUCCAAAAUCACUGCAGAUGGUGACUGCAGCCAUUAAAUUAAAAGAUGCUCACUUCUUGGAAGAAAAGUUAUGACCAACCAAGACAGCAUAUUAAAAAGCAGAGACAUUACUUUACCAACAAAGGACCAUCUAGUCAAGGCUAUGGUUUUUCCAGUGGUCAUGUAUGGAUGUGAGAGUUGGACUGUGAAGAAGGCUGAGUGCUGAAGAAUUGAUGCUUUUGAGCUGCGG